AUGGAGGGGGAUAACUACUGGAAACGGUAGCUAAUACCGCAUAACGUCGCAAGACCAAAGUGGGGGACCUUCGGGCCUCAUGCCAUCAGAUGUGCCCAGAUGGGAUUAGCUAGUAGGUGGGGUAACGGCUCACCUAGGCGACGAUCCCUAGCUGGUCUGAGAGGAUGACCAGCCACACUGGAACUGAGACACGGUCCAGACUCCUACGGGAGGCAGCAGUGGGGAAUAUUGCACAAUGGGCGCAAGCCUGAUGCAGCCAUGCCGCGUGUGUGAAGAAGGCCUUCGGGUUGUAAAGCA
rnacentral:rRNA from 1 species